CAGCAAACAUACCUAUAUCGGGCCGAUAUCGGCUAAAUGUCGGAAUAUCGAAGUCGGCUUUCCGCCAUCGAACCGAUAUAUAUCCGAUAUAGACAAACUUGUUAAAGACAGGAUGAUAUCGGUCCGAUAUAGGUCCAAUAUACAUUUAUUUCCUGUUAUUCAAUUAAAUGAGUUUUUUUAGCAUAUUCUUCUCAAUUUCAUUUCAGCAAGAAAUCGAUGCUUCUGUAAAGAGUAAUUUAGUCGUUUUCACGAAAAAUACUUCGGUGCUAUAUCGGCUCCAUGUCUGUUGCCGAUUUAGUGUAUAAGUGAUUUGCACAACGUGGUAUUUUUCUAGCACACCUGACAUCAGAAGGAGUUUGCGCCAAAACUAAGAAAAGUGGAUUUUUUCUCAAAUAAUACUGGUAAAACAUCUGUCUGUGACAUGACAAACAUAUCUGAAUCAGAGUGCUGACAACUGAAAUAGCUGGUUUUGGAGAAAGAAAAUGUCAUUUUAGAAGCUAAAGAUGACCAAUUGAUGCAAUACAGAGUCCUAGGCAACACUUAGAUUUUAGAAUGAAAUGUAGUGAUGAAAAAGAGGGCAACAGUCAUCGAGCUGAAAUUCAAUAGCAGGAAAUAGCUCAUCUGGCAAAUGAUCAAGACAUGGUGGCAAUAAAGAACUGUAGAAAACUAAACAAUUGAAGAAGUUCAUAUAUAUUGGGACUCCUGGAGGAACCACAAUUGACACUUGACAUUAUUAACUCAUGUACAAAUUACAAAAUGCUGUUUAACUAUUCAACAUGAUAAUGUGAAAAAAGUCAGCUAUUCUUUUAAAGUUUUACUCAAACUCGUAAUACCGUAACUGGAGUAUGAAUCAAUGUGCAAAAUCUAAAAUACAGUUACUACAUAUAUAAGAGAUAACAGCUUGACACUUUCUAGACAGAUUUUAAGUCUACAGGAUCUAAAAAAGCAAAGGAACAAGCCAUUGAGCUUAUUUUAUCUUAACAAAAAGUAGUAUGAAUAUAGCAAGGUUGUAUUUGCCAGUCACAUGACUUAAGUAUUUUUGUUAAAACAAUUUAAUUUUGACUGAUCUUUAUAGGAAACAUGUAAAGGUUAAUGUUUAAACUUUUAUGUGUGUUAGCAAGAAAAAAAUCGUAAGAUAAACAUACAUGGUUUUAAACAUUGAAAUAUGUAUGUGUAAAUUAUAAAAUAUAUUAUGUAUAUGAAUUUUUAAUUUUGCUGAUGUAAUAAAAGGUAUUGCAAAAUA